rnacentral:rRNA from 1 species
UACGUAGGGGGCAAGCGUUGUUCGGAGUUACUGGGCGUAAAGGGUGUGUAGGCGGUUCUUUAAGUUUGGUGUGAAAUCUCCCGGCUCAACUGGGAGGGUGCGCCGAAUACUGAGGGACUCGAGUGCGGGAGAGGAAAGUGGAAUUCCUGGUGUAGCGGUGAAAUGCGUAGAUAUCAGGAGGAACACCGGUGGUGUAGACGGCUUUCUGGACCGUAACUGACGCUGAGACACGAAAGCGUGGGUAGCAAACAGG